UACGGAGGACGCGAGCGUUAUCCGGAUUUAUUGGGUUUAAAGGGUGCGUAGGCGGACUAUUAAGUCAGUGGUGAAAGCCUGCAGCUUAACUGCAGAACUGCCAUUGAUACUGAUAGUCUUGAGUUUGGUUAAGGUAGGCGGAAUGUGUAAUGUAGCGGUGAAAUGCUUAGAUAUUACACAGAACACCAAUUGCGUAGGCAGCUUACUGAGCCGACACUGACGCUGAGGCACGAAAGCGUGGGGAUCGAACAGGAUUAGA
rnacentral:rRNA from 1 species